AGAACGAACGCUGGCGGCAUGCCUAACACAUGCAAGUCGAACGAGACCUUCGGGUCUAGUGGCGCACGGGUGCGUAACGCGUGGGAAUCUGCCCUUGGGUUCGGAAUAACAGCGAGAAAUUGCUGCUAAUACCGGAUGAUGACGUAAGUCCAAAGAUUUAUCGCCCAAGGAUGAGCCCGCGUAGGAUUAGCUUGUUGGUGAGGUAAGAGCUCACCAAGGCGACGAUCCUUAGCUGGUCUGAGAGGAUGAUCAGCCACACUGGGACUGAGACACGGCCCAGACCUCCUACGGGAGCAGCAGUGGGGAAUAUUGGACAAGU
rnacentral:rRNA from 1 species